rnacentral:rRNA from 1 species
UACGGAGGAUUCGAGCGUUAUCCGGAUUUACUGGGUGUAAAGGGAGCGUAGGUGGCAUGGCAAGCCAGAAGUGAAAACCCGGGGCUUAACCCCGCGGAUUGCUUUUGGAACUGUCAGGCUGGAGUGCAGGAGGGGCAGGCGGAAUUCCUGGUGUAGCGGUGAAAUGCGUAGAUAUUAGGAGGAACACCAGUGGCGAAGGCGGCUUACUGGACUGUAACUGACGUUGAGGCUCGAAAGCGUGGGGAGCAAACAGG